GACCUCGUUUGAGACCGUGUACAGUAAAUUUUGUACAAACAUUGUACAAAAAAAACUCGUGUGCUGAUAAUCGGUUAUGACAGACGUGCGUGUACUACGGCGUGCAUGUGCAAAGUUUAUUGGAUACUGCUCGGGAGAUUAAGGCACUCGGCAUAAGUUACUACAACCUCCUCCAGAUGCUUCCCUAUCCCAAAACUCUCAAAAUUGUCCAUUUGUUAUAAACAAUAAGAAGCCAAAAGAGCUCCAGUCAACCUGUAACUUUACCUAGGUCAAUAAACGAUACAAAGAGAGAUCACGACCAGUGUCGCAGCCUACAUUUGCAACUUGUUGCAAAUCACUGGUUGGAUGCAAGAACUGCGUGGACACCUGGUACGAGAGCCUACCGCCAGCCAGUUACCCGAAGUGUAUGAGCCAGGACGGCACACAACGUGUCAUGACAGGGCUUUAUGAGGCCGUGCAUGCUCUUAGGAAUAAUUUACCAUACUAAUUGAAUGUACAUGUGUAUAUGUUUAGCAAUAAUGUGGAUUUUUUAUUUCAUUUCUUUAACAGAAAUGAAUACAGUGUAGUAAAUAA